rnacentral:rRNA from 1 species
AGAGGUUGAUUAUGGCUCAGGAUGAACGCUGGCGCCGUGCUUAACGCAUGCAAGUCGAACGGAAAAUAUUUCAUUGAGACUUCGGUGGAUUUGAUUUAUUUCUAGUGGCGGACGGGUGAGUAACGCGUGGGUAACCUGCCUUAUACAGGGGGAUAACAGUCAGAAAUGGUUGCUAAUACCGCAUAAGCGCACAGGGCUGCAUGGCUCAGUGUGAAAAACUCCGGUGGUAUAAGAUGGACCCGCGUUGGAUUAGCUGGUUGGUGGGGUAACGGCCCACCAAGGCGACGAUCCAUAGCCGGCCUGAGAGGGUGAACGGCCACAUUGGGACUGAGACACGGCCCAGACUCCUACGGGAGGCAGCAGUGGGGAAUAUUGCACAAUGGGGGAAACCCUGAUGCAGCGACGCCGCGUGAAGGAAGAAGUAUCUCGGUAUGUAAACUUCUAUCAGCAGGGAAGAUAGUGACGGUACCUGACUAAGAAGCCCCGGCUAACUACGUGCCAGCAGCCGCGGUAAUACGUAGGGGGCAAGCGUUAUCCGGAUUUACUGGGUGUAA